GACAAACGCUGGCGGCGUGCCUAAAACAUGCAAGUCGAACGGACCCUUCGGGGUCAGUGGCGGACGGCUGAGUAACGCGUGGGUAACCUACCCGUGAGUGGGGAAUAACCCUCCGAAAGGAGGGCUAAUACCGCAUACGACCGUCGACCUGCGGAUUGAUGAGGAAAGUCGCAAGACGCUCGCGGAGGGGCCCGCGUCCGAUUAGCUAGUUGGUGGGGUAACGGCUCACCAAGGCGUCGAUCGGUAGCUGGUCUGAGAGGAUGAUCAGCCAGACUGGGACUGUGACACGGCCCAGACUCCUACGGGAGGCAGCAGUCGGGAAUCUUGCGCAAUGGGCGAAAGCCUGACGCAGCAACACCGUGUGUGCGACGAAGGCCUUAGGGUCGUAAAGCACUGUUUGUUGGGGACGAAGGG
rnacentral:rRNA from 1 species